AUUGAACGCUGGCGGCAGGCCUAACACAUGCAAGUCGAACGAGUGGCGGAGGGGUGAGUAAUGUCUGGGAAACUGCCUGAUGGAGGGGGAUAACUACUGGAAACGGUAGCUAAUACCGCAUACCAUCAGAUGUGCCCAGAUGGGAUUAGCUUGGUGGUGGGGUAACGGCUCACCAAGUCGACGAUCCCUAGCUGGUCUGAGAGGAUGACCGGCCACACUGGAACUGAGACACGGUCCAGACUCCUACGGGAGGCAGCAGUGGGGAAUAUUGCACAAUGGGCGAAAGCCUGAUGCAGCCACGCCGCGUGUGUGAAGAAGGCCUUCGGGUCGUAAAGUACUUUCAGCGGGGAGGCGUUACCCGCACAAGAAGCACCGGCUAACUCCGUGCCAGCAGCCGCGGUAAUUC
rnacentral:rRNA from 1 species